GAAGCUGAGGUCCAGACAGUAUCAGGAGGACUGGGGGCCCAGGACCACGAUCAGCCAUGCUGCCCUCUGGGAGGGACGGCAGGAGUUCCUGCAGGGAAGGGGUCGGUGACCGCCAGCCCGGUGACCAGCACAGCGAAGGCCGAGGGGCGCGACCGCCGCCGCGCCCCCAAGAUGCCCAGCGCCAGGCCAUUGCCCACCACGCCCGCCACGAACAUCAGGGUGCUGGUGGCCGGGCCCACCGAGUCCCGCACGUAGUGUUUUCCAGGCGCAACUGAGAUUUCUGUUCCCUGGACGAACUUCACUCCUUCCACAAGGUUGGGGGAAGAGGUGGCCCUGCCAGAAGAAAGAAAUGCCAGUCCCUGGAGCCCCGUCGGUGGGGGGAGGAGGGA